rnacentral:tRNA from 1 species
GGGAAGGUGGCUCAGUGGUAGAGUGCUUGCCUUGCAUACAUGAGGCCCUGGGUUC